rnacentral:lncRNA from 12 species
AGCCGUCGUGGUAGAAGCGGAAGCGGCGCCGGACGUGGCCGGAGGGGUCGGGGGCGAGGCAGGUGAGGGAAAUUCGUGAUUCGGAGCCGUCCGGAGAGGCCGAGGGAGGGGUCAGGAGAAGGAUGGGCUGGGGGGGAGGGGCUGGGGGGAUACAGGGGGUGUGGUCAGUGGGAGUGGGUGGGAUCAGGGGAGCGGUCAUUGGGGUGGUCAGUGGGUGUGGUCAUUGUGUGGGUUCAGACAUUUUUAUGGGUGUCGUCAGUGGGUUGGAUGCAGUCAGUGGGUGUGGUCAGUCGGGUGUGGUCAGUGGCAGUGGUCAGUGGGGUUUGGGCAUUGGGGCGUGGACAGUACUGUACUCAGUUGAUCAGUGGGUGUGGUCAUUGGGGGGUCAGUGGGGUUUGGGAAUUGGGAUGUGGUCACUGGGGUGGUCAGUGAGUUUGGUCAAUGGGUGUGAUGAAUGUGGUGGGUGCGGUCAGAGGGUGUUUUCAGAGGGCGUGGUCAGUGGGUGUGGUCAGUGGAUGUAGUCAGUGGACUCGGUGUGGUCAGUUUGGUGCGGUCCCUGAGGUGGGUGUGGCCAAUGGAGCGGUCAAUGGACAGAAAGUGGUCAUUGCAGUGGAUGUGGGCAGUUGGGUGUGUUCAGCAGGUGUGGUCAGUGGGGUUGGGAAGUGGAUGUGGUCAGUGGGUGUGGUCAGUUGAGUGUGGUCAGUGGGAUGUGGUCAGUGGGUGUGGGUAGUAGGGUGUGGUCAUUCAGGGGUAACUCAUUGGUCACUCACUGGUCACUCACUGGUCUCUCAGGGGUCAUUCUGGUCAUUCAGGGUCACUCAUUGGUCACUGAGGGUCACUCAGUGGUCACUCAUUGGCCACUCAGGGGUCAGUGAUGCUCACUCAGGGUCACUCCGGGUCACUCAGGGUCACUCAGUCACUCAGUGUCACUCACGGUCACUCAGGGUCACUCAGGGGUCAGUUGGUCACUCAGGGGUCACUCAGGAUCACUCAGUGUCACUCAUUGGUCACUCAUUGGUCACUCACUGGUCACUCACUGGUCACUCGUGCUCCCCCCGCCCCUCCCCCCAAGAACGAGGCUGUCAGUGCUCAGAAUGGCUUUAAUGGGGGAGGGGAGAGGGGACCCCGAGACCCCGAAACUGCCCCGAAAACACCCCAAAACUGCCCCAUAGGAACCCCAAACUGCCCCAAAACUGAGACCCCAGAACCGCCCCGAAACUGCCCCACAACCGCCCCACAACCGCCCCAUAGGAACCCCAAAACGGAGACCCCGACAACACCCCAAAAACACCCUGGAAACGCCCCCAAAACACCCCAAACCGCCCCACAGAGACCCCACGGAGACCCCAGGGUGCCCCACAGAGACCCCACAGACACCCCACAGACACCCCAGGGUGCCCCACAGAAACCCCACAGACACCCCACAGACACCCCAGGGUGCCCCACAGAAACCCCACAGACACCCCCGGACCCCCCUUUAGGACACCCCAAGACCCUCCAGGCCACCCCAUUCCCCUCCCCCAUCACUCUGAGCCUCCCCCCCCAGGCCACCCCUCAGUGGCCACUCAGGGUCACCCAGUGGUCAUUCAGGGGUCAUUUAGGGAUUCAGUGGUCAUUUAGGGUCACUCAGGGUCACUCGCGGUCACUAGGCGGUCACUGAGCGGUCACUCGGGGACACUGAGCAGUCACUGAGGGACACUGAGCGGUCACUGGGCGGUCACUGAGCGGUCACUGAGCGGUCACUGGGUGGUCAUUGAGCGGUCACUGGGCGGUCACUGAGCGGUCACUGAGCGGUCACUGGGGGGGGGGGGGGGGGGGGGGGGGGGGGGGGGGGGGGGGGGGGGGGGGGGGGGGGGGGGGGGGGGGGGGGGGGG